rnacentral:rRNA from 1 species
AUUGAACGCUGGCGGCAUGCUUUACACAUGCAAGUCGAACGGUAACAGGCCUUCGGGUGCUGACGAGUGGCGAACGGGUGAGUAAUGCAUCGGAACGUGCCCAGAGGUGGGGGAUAACGCAGCGAAAGCUGUGCUAAUACCGCAUGUGAUCUGAGGAUGAAAGCGGGGGACCAGGCAGCAAUGUUUGGCCUCGCGCCUUUGGAGCGGCCGAUGUCAGAUUAGGUAGUUGGUGGGGUAAAGGCCUACCAAGCCGACGAUCUGUAGCUGGUCUGAGAGGACGACCAGCCACACUGGGACUGAGACACGGCCCAGACUCCUACGGGAGGCAGCAGUGGGGAAUUUUGGACAAUGGGCGCAAGCCUGAUCCAGCAAUGCCGCGUGCGGGAAGAAGGCCUUCGGGUUGUAAACCGCUUUUGUACGGAACGUAAAGGCUCUGGCUAAUACCUGGGGCUGAUGACGGUACCGUAAGAAUAAGCACCGGCUAACUACGUG